rnacentral:rRNA from 1 species
UGUCCGCCAGAGGAUUACGGGCGAAAGCCUAAAACUCAAAAGACUUGACGGUGUCCCAACCCUGCCUAGAGGAGCCUGUUUCAUAAUCGAUAACCCCCGCUCAACCUUACCCCCCCUCGAACAUCUUCAGCCUAUAUACCGCCGUCUUAUUUAGCUUACCUUCUGAAAGAAUCAGAGUAAGCACAACAGUUACCCAACUAAGAAGUCAGGUCAAGGUGUAGCUUAUGGGGAGGAGAAAAUGGGCUACAUUUUCUACCACAGAACACUUACGGAAAAUAUUCUGAAAUAAAAUAUAAAAAGGCGGAUUUAGUAGUAAGUUAAAUUAGAGACUUUAACUAAAAC